AUCUUUUAGUAGUAGUAGUAAUAGUAGUAUCUUUUCUUUGCAGUAUCAUUUUUGCAACAGUCUCUGAAUGGAGACCAAUGAAAUUGCCCGUAUUUUUUUCUGCCGGACGGGUGCUGUGAGCAUGCUCAACCCUGUGCACGGAUCGGCCUCGUAUUGAAGUACCUAGGGGAUAUCCAAUAAUG
rnacentral:snRNA from 1 species